rnacentral:rRNA from 1 species
UUGACCUCGGAUCAGGCAGGGAUACCCGCCGAACUUAAGCAUAUCAAUAAGCGGAGGAAAAGAAACCAACAGGGAUUGCCUCAGUAACGGCGAGUGAAGCGGCAACAGCUCAAAUUUGAAAUCUGGCUCUUUUAGGGUCCGAGUUGUAAUUUGUAGAGGAUGCUUCGGCGUCGGCUCCGGUCUAAGUUCCUUGGAACAGGACGUCAUAGAGGGUGAGAAUCCCGUAUGUGAUCGUUGCCCUUGCCAUGUGAAGCCCUUCGACAGUCCAGUUGUUGGGAUGCAGCUCUAA